rnacentral:tRNA from 1 species
GUGGCUAUGGUGUAGCGGUAACACUGCUCCCUGUGGAGGAGUCGUCGCCGGUUCAAAUCCGACUAGCCACCCCA